GAGCUUCUUCCUCUUCUGUGUCUCUGCCUCCUGACUCGCUCUGGAAUCACGUCUGCUCGACAAAACGGAGCAGCUCCAGAGCCAUCUGUCAAGAUACUUAAUAAUCCAACAAACAACUCAGCGCUGCUGCAGUGUGAGGUUCAAGAUGCUUCUCCAGACCUUAAAGUAGAGCUGCAGGACAGUGCUGGAAACACACUUCCUGCUGAGGGGCCCCAGGUCUCAGAAAGAGGAGACAGAUACUACAUCACCCUCCAAACUACUGUGUUCAAGACCGACAACUUCAGCUGUGUCGUCACACAGGAGGGAACCAACCAACAGAUUUAUGCUCAGACCUUUGUGCAUAUCAGUGGGGCAGCUUCAGCGGCAGACUCCUCAGACGAAGACUCAGAAGGACAAAUGAGUCCACGAAAGAGUCUAGGCGGGAGUU